UAGCGUAACUCCUUACCGAAUAUUAUUCACACUUUGGGGGCCGGUGGACCGGUGGCUGGAGGCGACUCUUAAAGACACAGCAAACCUCAGAGCAUAUCCAACAGCUAGCUGGUGGUCAUUGGUUAUUACGGUCUUAUAGGCUACCAGAAGAAACCAAGAUGGACCUGUUGUACCUUUCUCCCGUUUUGUAGGUUAGUUUAUAUGACCCCCAUAACAAUUGGAAUAUCAACACAAUCGAUGUGUAUGAUUGAUGAUUGUAGAAGUAUGUACUGUAUAGCCUAAGCAUUCGUCCUUUCGAUGUUUUGAAUGGAAGAGGAAUACAAACAUAAGCAAUAUAACGUGUCAAAUUCCCCAACAAUCUAUGGAGGUCCGAAGGUGCGCACUCUCCCUCCCGUCCACACGUCAGCUGUGAUCCUCCUGCACGGUGGUAACAUCAGCUGUGAUCCUCCUGCACGGUGGAAACAUCAGCUGUGAUCCUCCUGCACGGUGGUAACAUCAGCUGUGAUCCUCCUGCACGGUGGAAACAUCAGCUGUGAUCCUCCUGCACGGUGGAAACAUCCGCUGUGAUCCUCCUGCACGGUGGAAACAUCCGCGGUGAUCCUCCUGCACAGUGGAAAGAGACAUCCAUUCGUAAUUCAACGUUUACAUAUUUAUAAUUUGCCAUGAUUGAGUAAUAUUUUAUGCACGCAAAGUUGUCUACCCAAAAUUGUGCAUCAGUGAUCACGAGGGAAGCAUCUAACGGCAUUUGUGAGAAUUGUUCUUACCUUCUGCCUCUAGCGAAUUUAUCUCACCGGAGAAAGGGGCGGAUCCUUAAGAGGUUUCUAGCUAGCUCGUCAUUGCCCAUGAAAGCAAGUUAGACUAGCGAGCAAGCAUUUUAGCCAGGUAUCUUAGGACAACAAAACAUAUAAGCAUGUACUGUAUGACAGGGUCAUAGACCGUUUCAUCAACAUGGAAGAGAGGAGGAAGGCAUUGGCGUUUCUCUACAAGUAGGUCCUCUGGGAGAGCUGCUGAUGACAUCAUCAGACAGGGUCAGCUGUAAUCUGGG
rnacentral:lncRNA from 1 species